GGGAAACGAUGGGGGAAGGACCAGACAGCCAGGAUGUUGGCUUGAAAGCAGCCAUCAUUUAAAGAAAGGGUAGGAGCGAACUGGUCGAGUCGGCCUGCGCGGAAGAUGUAACGGGGCUAAACCAUGCACCGAAGCUGCGGCAGCGACACUCUGGUGUUGUUGGGUAGGGGAGCGUUCUGUAAGCCUGUGAAGGUGUGUCGUGAGGCAUGCUGGAGGUAUCAGAAGUGCGAAUGCUGACAUAAGUAACGAUAAAGCGGGUGAAAAGCCCGCUCGCCGGAAGACCAAGGGUUCCUGUCCAACGUUAAUCGGGGCAGGGUGAGUCGACCCCUAAGGCGAGGCCGAAAGGCGUAGUCGAUGGGAAACGGGUUAAUAUUCCCGUACUUGGUGUUACUGCGAAGGGGGGACGGAGAAGGCUAUGUUGGCCGGGCGACGGUUGUCCCGGUUUAAGCGUGUAGGUGUGUGUUCCAGGUAAAUCCGGUUCACUUUAACACUGAGGCGUGAUGACGAGGCACUACGGUGCUGAAGCAACAAAUGCCCUGCUUCCAGGAAAAGCCUCUAAGCAUCAGGUAACAUCAAAUCGUACCCCAAACCGACACAGGUGGUCAGGUAGAGAAUACCAAGGCGCUUGAGAGAACUCGGGUGAAGGAACUAGGCAAAAUGGUGCCGUAACUUCGGGAGAAGGCACGCUGACACGUAGGUGAAGUGAUUUACUCAUGGAGCUGAAGUCAGUCGAAGAUACCAGCUGGCUGCAACUGUUUAUUAAAAACACAGCACUGUGCAAACACGAAAGUGGACGUAUACGGUGUGACGCCUGCCCGGUGCCGGAAGGUUAAUUGAUGGGGUCAGCGCAAGCGAAGCUCCUGAUCGAAGCCCCGGUAAACGGCGGCCGUAACUAUAACGGUCCUAAGGUAGCGAAAUUCCUUGUCGGGUAAGUUCCGACCUGCACGAAUGGCGUAAUGAUGGCCAGGCUGUCUCCACCCGAGACUCAGUGAAAUUGAACUCGCUGUGAAGAUGCAGUGUACCCGCGGCAAGACGGAAAGACCCCGUGAACCUUUACUAUAGCUUGACACUGAACAUUGAGCCUUGAUGUGUAGGAUAGGUGGGAGGCUUUGAAGUGUGGACGCCAGUCUGCAUGGAGCCGACCUUGAAAUACCACCCUUUAAUGUUUGAUGUUCUAACGUGGACCCGUGAUCCGGGUUGCGGACAGUGUCUGGUGGGUAGUUUGACUGGGGCGGUCUCCUCCUAAAGAGUAACGGAGGAGCACGAAGGUUGGCUAAUCCUGGUCGGACAUCAGGAGGUUAGUGCAAUGGCAUAAGCCAGCUUGACUGCGAGCGUGACGGCGCGAGCAGGUGCGAAAGCAGGUCAUAGUGAUCCGGUGGUUCUGAAUGGAAGGGCCAUCGCUCAACGGAUAAAAGGUACUCCGGGGAUAACAGGCUGAUACCGCCCAAGAGUUCAUAUCGACGGCGGUGUUUGGCACCUCGAUGUCGGCUCAUCACAUCCUGGGGCUGAAGUAGGUCCCAAGGGUAUGGCUGUUCGCCAUUUAAAGUGGUACGCGAGCUGGGUUUAGAACGUCGUGAGACAGUUCGGUCCCUAUCUGCCGUGGGCGCUGGAGAACUGAGGGGGGCUGCUCCUAGUACGAGAGGACCGGAGUGGACGCAUCACUGGUGUUCGGGUUGUCAUGCCAAUGGCACUGCCCGGUAGCUAAAUGCGGAAGAGAUAAGUGCUGAAAGCAUCUAAGCACGAAACUUGCCCCGAGAUGAGUUCUCCCUGAGACUUAAAGUCUCCUGAAGGAACGUUGAAGACGACGACGUUGAUAGGCCGGGUGUGUAAGCGCAGCGAUGCGUUGAGCUAACCGGUACUAAUG
rnacentral:rRNA from 1 species